rnacentral:misc_RNA from 1 species
AAUUCAAUAAGUGAACGGCUCCAUUAAAUGUACGUCAAAUUCAUCCUUUAACCAUUUCCCAGAAGAAAAACAAGCGGGGCGUACAAGUAUAACAACCAAUUGUGGAGCGUGAUGUCAGCUCCACCCACUAGGUCGAUGGGCAUGGCUGUGUGUAUCCAAAAGUCAGUGGACCGCAACAGUGUCUCCAAAGGCAGUCUCUUUAUGAGCCAUCUGAAGCCUUGGAUUUGUUUCUUCCACAUGGGUUCUCAAUAAUAAAUCUUUUUCGUUGAUUCUCGCACAAUCUUUUUUAAUCGAUUUCUGACUCCAAAGCAUACAUUUCACUACAAAAAGACAACUCAGAUUCUCUACAGCAGACAAAACCCAUUACGCCAAGCAAGCCUAAGCCACCUUAUCAUCUUCUUCUUGUUUUGUUUUUAUCUAUGGAGAGAGAGAGAAUCUAAUUCUUUUCUGGGGCUUAUGUUCAUUGUUUUUGAGAGAGAGAGAGAGAUUAAUAGAGACUGCGAUCUGUUAUUGUACAGCAAAAACUGAGAUUGGAAUACCCUUUUGCAUCCAAAGAAUGG